ACAUGCAAGUCGAACGAUGAAGCCCUUCGGGGUGGAUUAGUGGCGAACGGGUGAGUAACACGUGGGCAAUCUGCCCUUCACUCUGGGACAAGCCCUGGAAACGGGGUCUAAUACCGGAUAACACUCCUGCCUGCAUGGGCGGGGGUUAAAAGCUCCGGCGGUGAAGGAUGAGCCCGCGGCCUAUCAGCUUGUUGGUGGGGUAAUGGCCCACCAAGGCGACGACGGGUAGCCGGCCUGAGAGGGCGACCGGCCACACUGGGACUGAGACACGGCCCAGACUCCUACGGGAGGCAGCAGUGGGGAAUAUUGCACAAUGGGCGAAAGCCUGAUGCAGCGACGCCGCGUGAGGGAUGACGGCCUUCGGGUUGUAAACCUCUUUCAGCAGGGAAGAAGCGAAAGUGACGGUACCUGCAGAAGAAGCGCCG
rnacentral:rRNA from 1 species